GGUGCUCCUUCACAGUAAAUUUCCACACCCCCGCACGCCUUCACGCAGCCCGAGCCGGCGUCGUGCCGAGGUUCUGCUCGCUUGCCAGCCGGGCGCUCACUGGAAGAUCGCCGAGCCCCUCGGCUGAGCCGCAGUGGCAGAAAUCCAUCUGCGGAGGGAAGGCUGGGGAAGGCGCGGGGGAGCCCAGGAGCGCGCUGAAGGAGUCGGGGGGAGGGAGGGAGAGAGGAGGAGGAGGAGGAGGAAGAGGAGGAGAGAGGAGAGGUUUAGAAGCGGGAUGGUGGGGGGAUAAAAAUCGAUCCCGAUUCAGGACAAACGUCGAAGGCAGUCCUGGCGCCCAAGCGGUCUGUUGAAGCCCUCCCUCCCUCCAACGGAUCCUUUCAGUUCUCCCUGUUUAAUCAUGGAAAGUUGCACAUUGCCUGACUGGCUGACCCCCUCCCUUUUCCUCCUUCCCUCCUUCCCUCCCUCGCCGCGCAGGCGUCACACCUGGAUCCGACUCGAUUCUCCGGCGAAGGCAGGGCUUGGGAGAGCGGCAAGAGCCUCCUUCAGCUGUCCCGGCGUGGCUUGCUUCGAAUUAGUGUCAGGGUGUCAAGCGCCUAGCGAGCGGAGAAAGCAUGAAAACAAAAGAAAAGGAUGGAUUUUGACCUCCAUCAUGGAGGUAGCACAGGAUGGAUUUAGAGGUAGGAGCAGAAGGACAUGAAUUUUACUAAUGAUAGUGUCAUGGCAAAAGCAAUAAGGAAUUCCUUUUGUUCCAAAUAUUGUGAAGUCCAAACCCCUAAAAGGAGAUGCUGUUGUGUAAAUCCUUCAUUUUGUUCUUCUGAAAGACUUUUGUUUACCAAUUUUAAUUCUUGUUGAGUUUCUAAAGUGGAAGAGUUUUUCUCUUUUGGUAAUUUGAUUUGCAUUGGAAUGUGCCAUUUAGAUUUUAUUAUCAUUCUAAUUGAGGUUAUGGAAAUCAAUUCCUUUUGUAAGAAAUUAAUUUUAUAUGAAUGCCUAUUUUAAGUGGAAGAAAUUGAAUUGUGAAUUAGGCUAUUAAACUGCUCUACCACCAACGGAAUGAGAAGAGGAAUGUCAAGAAAAGUUGCCAUGGCUUAGAAUGCUCAUGUCCUUCAGAUCUGGGAAAGUGAAGCCUGCAAGAACCUAUCAUUUCUUUGACUUAGUUCUCACCUUGCCAGCCACAACAAGAAUGGUUAAAGAGACUAAUUCUAAGUAAUCAGUUUCAAAGAAGAACACACUGUUUGGAUAAUCAAUGAAAAGAAUGAGCAGAUUUGGAACUUUCUAAAGUUUUGUAUUUUUUUCCCCAGAUUUCAAGCCCUUCCUAUCAAAUUUAUGAAAGCUAUGAAUUCUUACAAGUCCUUAUUAAAAAUAAACCAAAUAAAAUGCUCA
rnacentral:lncRNA from 1 species